rnacentral:lncRNA from 1 species
GGACUAGUUUUUUCUUGCACUUGGCUUAUCCAAUAAACCAAUUGAACUUGAUCUAAUCAAGCCCAAACUAAAUCUAAUUAAAUUAUAUUCAAUUAAAUAUAAUCUUAGCUCAUUGUCUUAAUCAAAUUAAAUCAAUUAGCAAUCGAAUUGCUAAUCAAUCCUCCUGUAACACUUGCACUAGGUUAAAUGACAAUCGUAUUGAUCAUUUAACCCUGGAAUGAUUCUUAAUCGUUGAUCAACCA